GCUUAAUGUUUCCAUUCCCUUCACUUCAGCGCAUCUGGCUUGGGUUUAGAUUGAUCUUGAGUGCAUCAGGCAUCAUAUUCCCCAUUAUAAAGGGAGAAGGAGUUAGACAGAUGUUCUUUCCAGCAACGGUGCCAGCAUAUUAUAGAUCACCACCUGUUCAUUGAAGAAAUGACACAA